rnacentral:miRNA from 1 species
ACCUUGGCUGUAGACUGUUUAC